rnacentral:snRNA from 1 species
UCGCCUUAAACUAAUGAGUAAGGAAAACAAAGCGAGCGGUGGGAGCCGGUCGCCGCGCUAAUUUUUUGUGCGCAAGAAUUUAUGGAGGGGUUAUAGGCUGGCCGGGCGCUGACGCUGCUUACUUUGCAGAACUCGCUCGAGUGGGCCUCCC